ensembl:piRNA 21ur-10430 ncRNA
UAUUAAUAUGAAUUUUAAAAA